GCCAGUGUGGUUUAAUGGUUUAAGUACUGGAAUAGAACUCCAGGAGACCAGGGUUCAAAUCCCCUCUCAAUCA